rnacentral:tRNA from 1 species
UACUUGUAAGUGUAAGAUGCACAUAAAUUUUUGAUAUUUAAAGGGAUAGUUUAAUUCUAUUAUAAGUAA